GGGCCCGCACAAGCGGUGGAGCAUGUGGUUUAAUUCGAUGCAACGCGAAGAACCUUACCAGGUCUUGACAUCCCACGAAUCCUCUUGAAAGGGAGGAGUGCCUUCGGGAGCGUGGAGACAGGUGGUGCAUGGUUGUCGUCAGCUCGUGUCGUGAGAUGUUGGGUUAAGUCCCGCAACGAGCGCAACCCUUGCUAUUAGUUGCUAACAGUUAAAGCUGAGCACUCUAAUGGGACUGCCGGUGACAAGCCGGAGGAAGGUGGGGAUGACGUCAAAUCAUCAUGCCCUUUAUGACCUGGGCUACACACGUGCUACAAUGGAUGGUACAGAGAGCGGCGAGGCAGUGAUGCGGAGCGAAUCUCAAAAAGCCAUUCUCAGUUCGGAUUGUAGUCUGCAACUCGACUACAUGAAGUCGGAAUCGCUAGUAAUCGCGAAUCAGCAUGUCGCGGUGAAUGCGUUCCCGGGCCUU
rnacentral:rRNA from 1 species